AUUGAACGCUGGCGGCAUGCCUUACACAUGCAAGUCGAACGGCAGCACGGGAGCAAUCCUGAUGGCGAGUGGCGAACGGGUGAGUAAUAUAUCGGAACGUGCCCAGUCGUGGGGGAUAACGUAGCGAAAGCUACGCUAAUACCGCAUACGAUCUAUGGAUGAAAGCGGGGGAUCGCAAGACCUCGCGCGAUUGGAGCGGCCGAUAUCAGAUUAGGGAGUUGGUGGGGUAAAGGCUCACCAAGCCGACGAUCUGUAGCUGGUCUGAGAGGACGACCAGCCACACUGGGAGUGAGACACGGCCCAGACUCCUACGGGAGGCAGCAGUGGGGAAUUUUGGACAAUGGGCGCAAGCCUGAUCCAGCAAUGCCGCGUGCAGGAUGAAGGCCUUCGGGUUGUAAACUGCUUUUGUACGGAGCGAAAAGGCUUCCACUAAUACUGGGGGCUCAUGACGGUACCGUAAGAAUAAGCACCGGCUAACUACGUGCCAGCCGCCGCGGUAAUAC
rnacentral:rRNA from 1 species